CUAUGUUUUUAUUCUUGCAAGUACAUAAUUGUUGUGACCAUUAUUUGUUGAUUAACACUAUCUCAUUAUUACUAAGCUGGAACGCUUUAACUUUCUGUAAUUUUCACCAACGGAGAACUAAAGAUGUUAAUGGUCUCGUUAAAAAAAAAAAAAAAAAGAUGCUAAUGGUCAAAGGUUCUACAUUGGCAAACAUAAAAGUCAAAACGUUGCAACUAAUGAAAACCGGGAAUUAUUACAAUCUCCAACUGCAAAAUGUUGCUUUUGUUCUACUUCCCAAGUACUCCUUUCUCUUUGUCUGCAUUUGUGCAAUACGGACUUUGCAGCCAUAGAUCCUCCGCUGUUUGAAUCUAUAGAAAAGUUCAAUAUGUGUGACUGUGAUGGAAUCUUUAUUUGUGUCUUGUCAAGCAUUCUGCACAAUACACAUUUGGCUAACUCUUCAUCUCUUGCAGUUUUCACUACCUUUACCCCAAGGUGGAAGAGAUGACAUAUCCAAGAAUCCCGUUUUAAGGGAAGACCAGCUCCCACAGAAGUUCUUGUACCCCAAUACAAAGAAGAAUCAAAUAAGGACGAUGAUUUUUGUGCUAUGGACAGCAUCUCCCUCAGUCACCAUGCUGAAAAGAAAGCUUCUCACAGGCUUCCUGUGAGACAAGCAUUAGUUGUCUUUAGUGGUAAAAGAAAUCCAACCAUUACUCUCGUGCAAAGCAUUGAGGUAUCGUUGCUGGAAAUGUUAGAUGUGGUAGGAAUAUCUUAUACUUUGUGCGGUUAUCUGUUUCUGACAUCUCCUUCGUGCAUUCACUACCUGUGUAUUGAGCUACAUUCGAAAUUGGUACCUUGUUUCUAAUUGUUAUUUAUAUGAUAUGUUAAGUAUUCUUGUUCAUUCUCUCGCUAUUUACAGAAUGAUUUACCAUAUUUUGUAUUACUUUGGCUUAACCAUUUGAAUAAGUAAGAGUAUUUAUAUUCAUUUAGAGAUCUGAUUUUUCAGACCAUCGCUCUCGUAUUCCUAACUCAUUCUUGAUGGAUGAUCAAGGAGAAUAUGUCAACAUAACACUAUAGUUAAGUUUGAUAUAAGAAAUAGCUGGAAUUAUGUGAUUUGGGUUAGCUGUGAAGUUCGCCACUGGUUUUUUCUUCCGAAUACCAUGGUGAAACUGGUUAUAUUGACUGAUGCUUCUUUUCUAUCAGUUGGAUUCAAUUAUGUACAUCAUUUCUUUCAAUGAGAGAGAGUUUGUAGUUUUCAUAAGAUUUUCCUUACUAAGAUUGUUUAUAUUGAUGGCAGACUAUUUCCUUGCUAAGAUUUUCCAUCCAAACAUUGCAAAUAAUGGUGAAAUUUGUGUUAACACUUUGAACAGGAGGUGGUGGAGAGGAAUAAGUAUAGUCGGCUAUGGUUUAUUUUGAGAUUAAUAAAUGGUGGGACUGUUUAUAGAAGAUCACCCAAAGGUUUGUUUGAGUUUGAUAGGAUGCCUUUGGAAAAGUUGAAGAUUGAAGAUUUGUAUAUUGAAGAAGAAAUGAUUUCUUUCUAAUGUAUUAGAUAGAUUUUUUGUUAUUGUUUAUUUAAGUAAGGUUGUAAAUUAUUCACAAAUUUUGAUUUAUCAUUUCUAUU